AUCCUUUCUGAUUGGUUGGUAUUUCUGAAUUCUUAGGAUAUUACUAGUAUUCCCAGAAUUGGGAUCACUGGGCCAAAUGGGAGUUCCAUUUUUAAUUUUUUGAGGAAACUCCAUAUU